UGUAAACGGAGGGGGAGGAGAAAGCAGCCGCUGAUGGGGCAGUGUGAGGGCGCAGGAAGCAGAAACGUCGAGCCUGGAGCAGGGGUGACCACUGGCCUGAACCACCUCUGAUCAGCUUUUCUGGAACUGAAAACUCGAUGUUUCCCCUCAGCUCAGAGCUUGGGGUCAAACAAAGGCCCUGAGCUCACAGUCACCUCUCAUACUAAAGUGUAGAAAAUGAAUAAUUGUGUGGAAAAUGAGAAGGACGGCGCCGACUCUUCACAAUGUAACAGUAAGCAGUCCAAAGCAGAUCCACUGGCCUUCAGUAAUGAACCCAGAGCCUUGGACACAAAAGAGAGGAGAAGUAAUAGGAGUGGUGUUUGUGAGGAGGAGCAGCCGUCCUGCUGUGCUUUGUGUCAGGACAUCCUGAAGGAUCCAGUCUCUACCAGCUGUGGACACUGGUUCUGCAGACAG